CUUUGAAUUUGAAUAUUUUGGAUAUCAAUGAACUCUCUGUUAUCCUAGGAAAUGGUGCUGAGUAGUUUAAAAGUUACGUAUUUCUUAUAUAUAGCUAGUAUCCCUUUGAGAAGCUCCUUUGAAUAGGAGGAAAUCAUUGUUCCAGAAUUUUCAAAGCACUCUUAAAAAAAAAAAUUCACUGCCUAAAGAUAUGUCUAAAUUCUUUAGUCUGCUUUUGAAUCCUACCAUGUCAAAAACCUCAAUGUACUUUUCCUGCUUUAUUGCCCCUUAAAUUCACAAAUGAAACCAUAGGUUCAGCUGAACUUGUUAAUUUACUGUCUCAAAGUGUACCCAUGCCUUCUUGCUUUUGUACUACCUAUGACUUUUACAUGGAAUGUCUUUUCCUGACCUAAGCAAAGCCUUCCCAUUUUCCAGAAUCUGGUUUACAAAACCAUGUCCACAUUGACGUCCCUGGCUACUCCAGCUAAAACUGUACUUUGCAAAUGAAUCCAUUAGCACUUAUUAGUUUUGCAGUGCUGCGGAUCAAACCCAGGGCUUCAUGCGUACUAGGCGAGUAUUCUACCCCAGCCCUGAAUGUACAAUUUUUAUUUAGACUUUUCUUAAACGCUUCUUCACAUUCUUGCAUUAAUUUUCCAGUUUCAUUUUAAAUUUCUUGAUGGCAGGAAAACUUUUCUCAUCUUUUGUGUCUGUCCCUUAAAGUUACUAAGCACCAAACUUUGUGCAGGGUAUGUAUUUAAUAGCUGUAUUUUGAUUAAACAGUGGUGUCACUGACUGUUUUGAGCCCCGGUGUUGGAAUUUUUUAAAAUCAGUGAUCCUAGGUAAGGAUCAAUCCUUUACCUACAACAAUGUAUAGGAAUAAAAAACUGAUUAUUCUGCUUAAUUGAGAGUUGGUCAUUUUUACAAGACCCAAACUUAAUUUCAGGUAUAUAUUUCUUUUAAAAAUGUUUCAUGAAGCUUAUUUUGUGUUUGGUAGCAUUUUGCCCUUAACCUUACAAAAGGCACAGCUAUGCCUUAUAUUCUUUUACAGCUACUCUUCACCUGGGAUCCAGAGGUCUGAAGUGUUUGAUGGUGGGUUAGAUGGGUCAUCAGUCAUUCUGCUCCAGAACAUCUUAGGAGGUCAUGUUGUGACAUUCAGUGAGUCAUAGUAUGUAGUAUGUUCUGUGUUCAAAAGUUAAUAUUUUUUUCUAUUAUUGGAAGCAUAAUUGCAUCACUGUUCAAACUUAAAAUGAUUUGGGGAUACUUGUUGGUGAAUGG
rnacentral:lncRNA from 1 species